rnacentral:rRNA from 1 species
UCGGGAACAUUGCGCAAUGGAGGAAACUCUGACGCAGUGACGCCGCGUGCAGGAAGAAGGUUUUCGGAUUGUAAACUGCUUUAGACAGGGAAGAAAAAAUGACAGUACCUGUAGAAUAAGCUCCGGCUAACUACGUGCCAGCAGCCGCGGUAAUACGUAGGGAGCAAGCGUUAUCCGGAUUUAUUGGGUGUAAAGGGUGCGUAGACGGGAAGACAAGUUAGUUGUGAAAUCCCUCGGCUUAACUGAGGAACUGCAACUAAAACUAUCAUUCUUGAGUGCUGGAGAGGAAAGUGGAAUUCCUAGUGUAGCGGUGAAAUGCGUAGAUGUUAGGAGGAACACCAGUGGCGAAGGCGACUUUCUGGACAGUAACUGACGUUGAGGCACGAAAGUGUGGGGAGCAAACAGGAUUAGAUACCC